rnacentral:tRNA from 1 species
GCCCGGUAGCUCAGAGGUACAGCUCCUGCAUAUACAUAGUGAUCGAAAGCGCCUAGCAACAACUAGCAGGUUGUCGCAGGUUCGAAUCCUGCCCGGUGGCU